UGGGGAAUUUUGGACAAUGGGCGCAAGCCUGAUCCAGCCAUGCCGCGUGAGUGACGAAGGCCUUAGGGUUGUAAAACUCUUUCGUCGGGGACGAUAAUGACGGUACCCGAAGAAGAAGCUCCGGCUAACUUCGUGCCAGCAGCCGCGGUAAUACGAAGGGAGCUAGCGUUGUUCGGAAUCACUGGGCGUAAAGCGCACGUAGGCGGAUAGUUAAGUCAGGGGUGAAAUCCUGGGGCUCAACCCCAGAACUGCCUUUGAUACUGGCUGUCUCGAGGUCGAGAGAGGUUGGUGGAAUUCCUAGUGUAGAGGUGAAAUUCGUAGAUAUUAGGAAGAACACCAGUGGCGAAGGCGGCCAACUGUCUCGAUACUGACGCUGAGGUGCGAAAGCGUGGGGAGCAAACAGGAUUAGAUACCCGUGUAGUCCCUGAGCGGGCUGGCAAGGCGCAU
rnacentral:rRNA from 1 species